rnacentral:lncRNA from 1 species
AUCCGUCAGCCUGAAGAUAGCUGUGCACCGGGACUCCCCAGGAGAGCAGAGACCUUUGGGGGAUAUGACAGUAGUCCCUCAAUUUCAAAUAACAAUAAUAGUCUUGGGAAGAGUAGUGGUGGUGACCAGAGGCAAUGGGACUGGAGAGGCCAUGCAGUAAGUUCAGAUGUGCAUCUCCAGGACCUCCCACUGGAUGCAGAAGAAGGAUCUCAAACUAGUGAUAUAACAAGGCUGGAUGACAACAGUGAUAUUCAGCCCACCAUAGAGUCUCAGCUUGUCCAAAGGAUACAAAAACUGCUACAAUUGCUCUUCAGUCUUCAGGCAGUGAUAUCUC